rnacentral:rRNA from 1 species
GACCCUGGAGCACAUGCAAGUGAGUAUGCAGACAUGAGUAACGUUAAGCCGGGUGAAAUCCCCGGCCGCCGUAAACCCGAGGUUUCCAGGGCAACGUGUUUCGUCCCUGGGUUAGCCGGGACCUAAGCCGAGGCCGAGAGGCGUAGGCGAUGGACACCAGGUUAAUAAUCCUGAGCUCGCAACCCUUAAACUGGGGGGACGCAUGAGAAAAGAUGACUAGGUUAUUGAAUUCCGAGUUGAGUCCACGGACUCAGCGCAUCAUUGGAUCGAGUGCCAAGAAAAGCCCCAGCGUAUGCUAAGCGACCCGUACCGCAAACCGACACAGGUGGGUGGGUAGAAUAUACCAAGGCGUAAGAGUGAAACCUGGUUAAGGAACUCGGCAAAUUAGCCCCGUAACUUCGGAAGAAGGGGUGCCUGCAGCGAUGCAGGCCGCAGAGAAAUGGCCCAACCGACUGUUUAUCAAAAACACAGCACUCUGCAAAGACGCAAGUCGAAGUAUAGGGUGUGACACGUGACCAAUGCCGAAAGAUUAAGGCAAGGGGUUAGCCGCAAGGCGAAGCUCUAAACCCAAGUCCCGGUGAAUGUCGGCCGUAACAAUAACGGUCCUAAGGUAGCGAAAUUCCUUGUCGGGUAAGUUCCGACCUGCACGAAUCGUGAAACGAGUUGGGCACUGUCUCAACCAGGCGCUCAGUGAAAUUGUAGUGGCGGUGAAGAUGCCGCCUACCCGCAGAAGGACGGAAAGACCCUAUAGACCUUAACUGUAAGCUGUCAUUGUUUCUUCGGUUUUAAUGCUCAGAGUAAGUGGGAGACGCUGAAGACGCCCUUUAGGGGGCGUCCGAGUCAUCAAUGAGACACCACCCUUUGAAACUGGAGGAUCUAACCCUGAGCCGUGAAUCCGGCCAGAGGACCGUGUCAGCCGGUCAGUUUUACUGGGGCGGUAUCCUCCCAAAGAGUAACGGAGGAGCGCGAAGGUGGGCUCAGCCCGGUUGGCAACCGGGUGUCGAGUGCAUGGGCAUAAGCCCGCCUAACUGUGAGACCAACAAGUCGAGCAGAUGCGAAAGCAGGCCCAAGUGAUCCGGCGGUAGAAAGUGGAAUUGCCGUCGCUCAACGGAUAAAAGGUACCUUAGGGAUAACAGGCUGAUCACGCCCAAGAGUUCAUAUCGACGGCGUGGUUUGGCACCUCGAUGUCGGCUCGUCGCAUCCUGGGGCUGGAGAAGGUCCCAAGGGUCCGGCUGUUCGCCGGUUAAAGCGGCACGCGAGCUGGGUUCAGAACGUCGCGAGACAGUUCGGUCCUCUAUCCUCUGUGGGCGUUGGAAAAUUGAGGGGUUCAGACCUUAGUACGAGAGGACCGGGUCUGACGCACCACUGGUGCAUCGGUUGUACUGUCAAGUGCAUGGCCGAGUAGCUAAGUGCGGACGGGAUAAGCGCUGAAAGCAUCUAAGCGCCAAGCCCUUCCCAAGAUGAGUUUUCCCUACAGGUUCGUGGAAGACCACCACGUUGAUAGGUCGCAGGUGUAAGUGCAGCAAUGUAUUGAGCCGAGCGAUACUAAUUAUCAA